rnacentral:lncRNA from 1 species
CUCCCACCUCCUGCCAUUUCAUCUCCUUUACAUAAUCUCUCUCCUCUCUCCUCAGAAUCCUCCAACAACUUCCCAUGGCCAGAGAAAAUGGUCUCCACUCCUUGGGAUGGGUCUGCCUCUCAGAAAACGGAAUGAAUUCAGUCCUGGAGCACAUGCCCAGCAGUACAUGAGAGGGAUCCUGGAGCCUGCUGGAAGCCAUGUCACUACCACAAUGCAGUGAACUGAAACCAUAGGGACAGAAA